rnacentral:misc_RNA from 1 species
GAUGAAGAACGUAGUGAAAUGCGAUAAGUAAUGUGAAUUGCAGAAUUCAGUGAAUCAUCGAAUCUUUGAACGCACCUUGCACCCUUUGGCAUUCCGAAGGGUAUGCUCGUUUGAGUGUCAUUGUACUCUCACACUCCCAAUUGCUUUGGAUUGGGAGCGGUGGACUUGGGUGUUGCUGCUUGACUGAGGCUCACCUGAAAUAUGUUAGUGCACCUCUUGAUUGGACAUAGUACGGCGUGAUAAGUGUCUUCGCCGGCUCCUCGCAAAGAGGGUGGCCGAUCGGGAGCUCUGUUGCUUCAAACUGUCUUCGGACAACGCUGACAACUUGACCUCAAAUCGAGUAGGACUACCCGCUGAACUUAAGCAUAUCAAUAAGCGGAGGA